AAACUUCUUUCAGGGUGAUGCCCUUUCCUCACUCAGCAACAUGGACCCAGAAAGUCCAUGGUGCCUGGUCUGCCUGGGCCUGCCACCAUGAUCCUGGGGCCCUGGGCAUCUAACCCUCCCAGCUAUCUGCCUUUCCCUUCCUCUUUCCUUCCAUUCCCCACAUUCAUCCCCCCAUUUCUAUAUCCACUCAACAGACUCCAGGAAUCCCUAACCUUCAAGUCCUCCUAGGAACUGUGAUGGAACUGACUUUGGACCCUCUGCAGGGUUUUGUUUGCUUCUCCAGUACUGAGGCCAUGACCAGAUGUGAUAGCCUCAGAAUAAGGUCCAUCCUACACAUAACUCACAGCUCAGGGCUCUGUGGGGAGGGAAACUGCAGUUUGCAAAUGUCCCUGAGUAAAUUUCAUGCUGUGUUCCCUUUGUCAUAGUUCUACCUAGAAAAAACUCAUUCCCAGUACAUCAGGAUUCCCUGAAUGCUGUCUGUGGACUGUGAAACCUCAGUUUCCCUGCCUCUGAGAGGCCCCUUGUGCAUCCUUUGCAGACACUCCAUUGGCCUCCUAGGUGACUCCCUAUCAAUGGAUAAGUUUGACUCUGCUCAAUGGCACCAUGCCCCUCCCUAUGCUCGCCAGCAGGGUAAGGGACCUUCUCCUGGGCAGUUCUAGGCAUUCCAAGGUCAUUUGUGAAGGUGACCAGUCCUAAAGAUUAUUGCUCCAUCACUUCCUCAUUCUUCCUAUUGCUUAUACUCCUUAUAUACCCUUCCCCUUCUUUCCUAGACUUGCACAAACAAACAAACAAACAAACAAAAACCCUGAAUAAAAUAUCUUUAUAGCUAGAGGCUGAGGAAUCCUGAAGGUCACCCAGAAGCACAUCCUGCUCAGAAUGUGGGUGCUUCCCCCAGAAUUUCCCACAGUAAACACUAAAUGGGGGACAGAUUCUGGCCUGCCAUGUCCCCAAUGUUCAUUGGUCCCUGCCAUGACACAUAAGCUCUGGUCCCAGGGAAUAGAUCUGUGUGAUAGACACUCAGUUCCCUAAAACCCUCUCCUGCCCUGACCAGUAACAGCUGCUUAGGAUCAUGGAAGGUGAUGGGAUGGUGAGGAUUGGGGCAUUUCAGAGAUUUUCACAGCCACUGGUUAUGUAGAUACUGGGCCUGGGAAUUGGAGCCAUUCUGUGGUCCUUUUCCUCUGAGCUUUCCCAAACACAGGAAGGAAAAUGUCACAGAGAACCAGGCCUGCACCAGCUGCCAAGUGUGGCCAGGUUGUCUGGAGCACAUCCCUGUU
rnacentral:lncRNA from 1 species